UAGGGAAUCUUCCACAAUGGACGCAAGUCUGAUGGAGCAACGCCGCGUGAGUGAAGAAGGCUUUCGGGUCGUAAAACUCUGUUGUUGGAGAAGAAUGGUCGGCAGAGUAACUGUUGUCGGCGUGACGGUAUCCAACCAGAAAGCCACGGCUAACUACGUGCCAGCAGCCGCGGUAAUACGUAGGUGGCAAGCGUUAUCCGGAUUUAUUGGGCGUAAAGCGAGCGCAGGCGGUUUUUUAAGUCUGAUGUGAAAGCCCUCGGCUUAACCGAGGAAGCGCAUCGGAAACUGGGAAACUUGAGUGCAGAAGAGGACAGUGGAACUCCAUGUGUAGCGGUGAAAUGCGUAGAUAUAUGGAAGAACACCAGUGGCGAAGGCGGCUGUCUGGUCUGUAACUGACGCUGAGGCUCGAAAGCAUGGGUAGCGAACAGGAUUAGAUACCCUGGUAGUCCAUGCCGUAAACGAUGAAUGCUAGGUGUUGGAGGGUUUCCGCCCUUCAGUGCCGCAGCUAACGCAUUAAGCAUUCCGCCUGGGGGAGUACGACCGCAAGGUUGAAAC
rnacentral:rRNA from 1 species